UUUGAUACAAAUGAGUUUCAGUUGAAAAGUACAGCGUCAAAUUACAAAUUUGGCAAAAAAAGGUCAGGCUACCAAUCAAGUUCUGGAACUUCCAUUAGAGAACUGUAUAUAUGAUAGGAUCAGUGCCGAAGGGACAGAAGGUAUAACACUUGUUGAGAUUGGCAAACGUCUUGGACACAACAAUUCCAAAAGGCUCCACAAACGAGUAUCAUCCAUGCUCAAAAACUUCAAUCCAACUUGUGAAGCAGAAGUUCCAGACAAGACAUCAUAGUACCAAGUUUGGACUUAAAAAAACUUCUCACUCUACAAAGCUGGUACUGCUCUGCAAAAUUUUGGGGUGCUAUCAGAAGAUUGUGAUGGUGGUUCGGAUUUGUGGUCCCUAGUUCCAUCGAAAGAAUUGGAUCCUUCUAUCCCACACGACAGUUUACUCUUGCUUGAACAAGAGAGCCACGAUGAACCAAUUGGACAUCAUAUCCAGAACGACCUUGACGCUUCUGCUGGAGCUUGUCAAUUAGUUGAAGAAGGAAGAUCUUAUCCAUCAGAUGGAUGUAUUGAAUCCUCAGACUUGCCGGACCCUGUUGGAGAAGUUGGCACUCGAUGGGCACCUUCACGUUCGGGUGUUUGAAGAGCCUGUGCCUACAGCUCCGACCAUGCAGCGGGCCCUGUUCAAGCAAGACCCCAGUAAAGAACCAGCCAAAUGUAGAAAGCGGUAUACUUCGCUAAUCCAAUGAGCACAUCCCAGGGGAAAUUUAAAUAUUUGCCAUCUUUACGGAUGGCACUAGUCCAGAUGCCGGUCUUAGAAACGCUCC